rnacentral:rRNA from 1 species
CCUACGGGAGGCAGCAGUGAGGAAUAUUGGUCAAUGGUCGGGAGACUGAACCAGCCAAGCCGCGUGAGGGAUGAAGGUACAGAGUAUCGUAAACCUCUUUUGUCAGGGAACAAAGGCGGGGACGUGUCCCCGGAUGAGUGUACCUGAAGAAAAAGCAUCGGCUAACUCCGUGCCAGCAGCCGCGGUAAUACGGAGGAUGCGAGCGUUAUCCGGAUUUAUUGGGUUUAAGGGGUGCGCAGGCGGUCUGUUAAGUCAGCGGUAAAAGCCCGGGGCUCAACCCAUGCCCGCAGUUGAAACUGGCAGUCUCGAGUUGGAGAGAAGUAUGCGGAAUGCGCGGUGUAGCGGUGAAAUGCAUAGAUAUCGCGCAGAACUCCGAUUGCGAAGGCAGCAUGCCGGCUCCACACUGACGCUGAGGCACGAAAGCGUGGGUAUCGAACAGGAUUAGAUACCCCUGUAGUC